rnacentral:rRNA from 1 species
GAGUUUGAUCCUGGCUCAGGACGAACGCUGGCGGCGUGCCUAACACAUGCAAGUUGAGCGGAGAUAUGGAGAGCUUGCUCUUUAUAUUUAGCAGCGAACGGGUGAGUAACACGUGAGGAACCUGCCUCGGAGUGGGGAAUAACACAACGAAAGCUGUGCUAAUACCGCAUGAUGCAGCUGGGUCGCAUGACUCUGGCUGCCAAAGAUUUAUCGCUCUGAGAUGGCCUCGCGUCUGAUUAGCUGGUUGGCGGGUAACGGCCCACCAAGGCGACGAUCAGUAGCCGGACUGAGAGGUUGGCCGGCCACAUUGGGACUGAGACACGGCCCAGACU